rnacentral:lncRNA from 1 species
UUUAUUUUAUUUUCAUUUCUAUAAAAGAAAAAAUAACUAGAGGAAAUGGAAUUUUGUGCUACCAGAACAAAACCUAAAUUGCUCACUUUGAGGGUUGUCUCUGGGCUGUCUGCCUGGCUCUGUGUGUGGAGCAAGGGUGAGAUUUUUCUAGAUCCAUAGGGCUGAACCAAGAGGAGCAAUGAACUAGAGAGGACAGAAGGUAGUUUCCAGUUAAUGAUCAAGUCCUGAUGCAUAAUAUGUUCAAAAAAACUUCCAGUCUUAGAUUUGCACUAGAAAGGAAGAGGGUGACAAGGAAUUUGUUGUUUUUUCUUCUCAAAUGAGAGAACAGAGAUCUCAGACAGAGUAAUACCUGUCAGCACUGCUUGAGUGACUUAUCUUCCAGCCACCGUUAAACCGAACAAGGAAAUUUAUAUAUCUCAUUGUUUUGAGCACUAUUGUUGUCUUCCAAGUGGGUAAAUAUUGAG